GCGGCGUGCUUACACUCUGACAAGUCGAACGAACUUCGGGUUAGUUGGCGGACGGGUGAGUAACACUGAUCUUGCCCUCAGGAGGGGGACAACAGUUGGAAACGACUGCUAAUACCCCAUAUGCCGCGAGGUGAAAUGAAUUUCGCCUGAGGAUGAGCUCGCGUCUGAUUAGCUAGUUGGUGUAGUAAUGGCUCACCAAGGUCAUCGAUCAGUAGCUUGGUCUGAGAGGAUGAUCAGCCACACUAGGACUGAGACACGGCCCAGACUCCUACGGGAGGCAGCAGUGGGGAAUUUUCCGCAAUGGGCGAAAGCCUGACGGAGCAACGCCGCGUGAGGGAUGAAGGCCUCUGGGCUGUAAACCUCUUUUAUCAAGGAAGAAGAUCUGACGGUACUUGAUGAAUAAGCCACGGCUAAUUCCGUGCCA
rnacentral:rRNA from 1 species